GUCAUUCUUCGUGAAAAUGUCUGUGCAAACAUCUCCUGGAGUCUCAAGAGGAAGUUAAGGUUGGAGUCUGCCCCUUUGGAUGUGAUUGUUUUUAUCUUGAAUGGGACCAACAGAAAUGGCAUUGAUUCCUAAUACCCAGGAUGCCACGAAAUCUGCGAUGGAGAUCCAAAAUUCACAAUAGUGGGACAUAAGGAGGAUAAAGGCACUGGAAUGCAAGAAAGAAGGAUCUACACAGAUGGACAAUUUAGGCAUUUACCCGACUACUGAUGACAAAGAUAUAAGAUCCAAUCUACGUAGAGCCAGUAAGGAGAAAUUUGUCCAAACGUGUGGUACCAAUUAAGAACCAUUAAACAAUACCAGCCUGGUUUCCUCUGUCGACACUAGAUAUUGACAGGUUUGAUAUAUCUAUGUCAGCCUUUAUUAACUUUCAGCCUUGCAAUAUUUAACACCCUCGUCUGAAAUCGUAAUUACAGUGGAUGGGCAGAAUGAAAAUGUUUGAAG